rnacentral:lncRNA from 1 species
GAGAUUCUGUCAGCUCUGGCCUGAAUUUGUCAGAGACUCAUUUGGUGUUUCAUUUGAAAUAUUUAUGCUUUCAGUUUUGAUCAAUUGCGAAAACAACAAUUAGGCUAACACAAUGUCCGACCUUUGUUGUUCUUCCACUGGAAAUGUUUCAUUGAUGCUGUUUAGUGUUUUAUUUUUUAUUUUACCGUUAUUUUUUUUACACAUUCUCAUUUACUGCAACGACCUGGGGAACUGUUUCAGGGGAGAGGAGGGGUAUGAAUGAGCUAAUUGUAAGCUGUGGAUGAUUCGAUGACGGUGAUGGUAUGAGGACCAGUAACAGUCUGGAAUGGUUUUGCUCAACGUGUUUUCAUCCAGUUAAACUACUAGUUGAUGGAGAGGCGAGUGAGUUCGGUUUGAUAGAAUGUAGUCGUAACUUUGGCGACUUGAGACGUAGAAACUCUUAUCGUGGAUGAGAGUGAUGUCUGAGACAGAUGAAUGGACUGUUGAGAGGAGGAGUUUGUCUGUUUAUCUCGGUCUUCCCGUAAACAGGGUCUAGCUAUCCCUCAAGGUUGGCAGUAUGUCAGGCCAGGUACAUGAAGAUCAUCUCUUGACAGCUCCAUCAGUUACCAUCUCUGGUCAGCUGUACAUGAUCCCUUGUUAACAGAUUGACAUGAGAGGCUAAAACAAUCACAUCCCACUUAACUCACAGGUAUGUCUCUCAUGCUACAGUAUAUGCUCCUGCACCAAGCGUGUUUUAGGUAAACUACAGUUAGCCUAUAGAUACAUCAAAUGCAUUGAGUCUCAUUCAGAUGAUGUCAGUCACUUUCCGUCCCAUUUUGGAAAGCCCAGUCCCUAUAAGACUUAGUCCCUAUAGUCCACAGUGAGCAGAAAAGAGAAUAACAGACUUUGCAUGGCUUUAUGAAGCUUUACUCUUUCUGGCAGAAGACGCCUUUGUGGCUUUGAACAUUAAGGCAUGAUUUGGAUGGGGUGACACAGCAGCUGGUGGUAAUAAAGAGCUGUCUCACCCCUGAUCACUGCAGUGCAGGUGUACUGACUUUAAGGAUUUCUCAGACAGAUUCCCAUUUGGCGGACACCAAGGAAAGUUGAGAGCUCCUAAUAUGCUGUGUGAAUGCCAAAUGUGGUGUUGUGAAUGGUACUUAUGGGUCAAUGAAAUGUAUCACCUUGUGUAAUAACUGCAGUUUCCCUGUAUGAUUUAUAGGCUUGUAUUGAUUUAUUGUGAAAUACUGGAACAGAUUAAUUUGUAUACACUGUUGUAGAAGGACUGAAAGAAUCGGUAGUCAUGAGUUAUUUCCAUCUCCGUGAUACAGAAAACUGUAACACUUUUCUGGUGUAGAAAGCACCGCCAUUUUAUGAUGAAUGCAUAAGCAAGAGGCAACAGUUCAAAAGUGUUUCCCAGAAAACACAUUGUUCACACUGUCAUGCCCUGAUCUGUUUCACCUGUCUUUGUGAUUGUCUCCACCCACCUCCAGGUGUCUCCUGUUUUCCCCAUUAGUCCCCGGCGUUUUUAUCCCUGUGUUUCCUGUCUCUCUGUGCCAGUUUGUCUUGUUUUGCCAAGUCAACCAGCGUUUCUCCUAGCUCCUAUUUUUCCCAGUCUCUGUUUUUUCCUAGCCCUCCUGGUUUUGACCAUUGCCUGUCCUGACACCGUAUCCGCCUGCCUGACCACUCUGCCUGUCCUGACCUCGAGCCUGCCUAUCCCCUUGUACUGUUUGGACUCUGACCUGUUCACUGAACCCCUUCCUGUCCUGACCUCAAGCCUGCCUAUCCCCUGGUACUGUUUGGACUCUGACCUGUUCACUGAACCCCUUCCUGUCCUGACCUCGAGCCUGCCUAUCCCCUGGUACUGUUUG